rnacentral:rRNA from 1 species
CCUACGGGAGGCAGCAGUGGGGAAUAUUGCACAAUGGGCGCAAGCCUGAUGCAGCGACGCCGCGUGAGGGAUGACGGCCUUCGGGUUGUAAACCUCUUUCAGUAGGGAAGAAGCGAAAGUGACGGUACCUGCAGAAGAAGCACCGGCUAACUACGUGCCAGCAGCCGCGGUAAUACGUAGGGUGCGAGCGUUAUCCGGAAUUAUUGGGCGUAACGAGCUCGUAGGCGGUUUGUCGCGUCCGUCGUGAAAGUACGGGGCUUAACCCCGGAUCUGCGGUGGGUACGGGCAGACUAGAGUGCAGUAGGGGAGACUGGAAUUCCUGGUGUAGCGGUGGAAUGCGCAGAUCUCAGGAGGAACACCGAUGGCGGAGGCAGGUCUCUGGGCUGUAACUGACGCUGAGGGGCGAAAGCAUGGGGAGCGAACAGGAUUAGAUAUCCUUGUAGUC